UUCACUAUUACAUGACAUGUAUAAUGUUAAUCAUGUUAUGCAGUAUUGCAAAAUGUGUUAGCUGUUGUACAGUAGCUUGCAUUAGUAUUCACCCAGUUGAAAAUUUCCAGGACGAUAUUAUAGCACUAUAUGACAUCUAACUCCAAUUAAAUCCAUUUCAGUUCCAGGUUAUAACAGUUACAAAAUGCCGAAAAGUUCAAAGGAAGCUAUUGUAGAUGUUCUGUUAUUUUCACACACAACAAAACUAAAAGGUCAAAAAGUGAUAUUAUUAGUUAAAGCACACCUAUUGUGGAUUUGAAACGUGCCUAAUUUUGUUUUAAAGCUCUCAUACGAUAGAUUUACACGCAUCCAAGGUCAAAAAACACUUUAACGUGCUCAUAAUUUAAACUGCAGCAUUACCUUUUUCCCCCCAGUGUCACAAACGACUCGUUAAAUGAUCCGUUCUAAAGGAUUCGUUCUAAACAACUCCUUUCAGAGAGUAUACUCUGCUCUGAUUGGUCAGACGUCCCAGUCUGUUGUGAUUGGUCUACCGCUGUCAGCGUGUUUCAAAAAGGAAACGCCCACUACCAUAACGAGUCUGUCAGCGAGCAGCCGAUGAAGACCAGAGGCGGGGUUUAUUGUUAUAAACCUACGUAGGUUAGAACAGGAAGUAAAGUCUGGAAUCACUAACGACUCGAUUCAGCUGUUCAGAAUCGAUACCUUCUUUUGGGAGUCGAUAACUCCAUUUGUCGUGCGCUUUGAUUUUUGAAACUUUGCAGACUUUUUAAGAUUCACAAACAGCUACGUAUAUAACACACUACAUGAAAGGGAAUAUUUGAAAAAGAAUAAUAGGUGCACUUAAAAAAAAUACCACUGAUCACCACUGUUUCCUAACGGCCAAUCACUGCUCACCACUGUUUCUUAACGACCAAUCACUGAUCACCACUGUUUCCUAAAGGCCAAUCAUUGAUCACUACUGUUUCCUAAUGACCAAUCCCUGAUCACCACUGUUUCCUAACGGCCAAUCAUUGAUCACUACUGUUUCCUAAUGACCAAUCCCUGAUCACCAUUGUUUCCUAACGGCCAUUCAUUGAUCACCACUGUUUCCUAACGGCCAAUCAUUGAUCACCACUGUUUCCUAACGACCAAUCCCUGAUCCCCAUUGUUUCCUAACGACCAAUCAUUGAUCACCACUGUUUCCUAACGACCAAUCACAAGCAGCUACGUAUAUAACACACUACAUGAAGGGUAAUAUUUGAAAAACCAUAAUAGGUGCCCUUUAAAGAAUUUAGAUAUUGUUUCAAUAACUUGACCUUGAGAUAACAACAUCCUGAUACACUUUUCCUUAUUGUCAUGUGUUGGUGCUUUUGUAACUCCUUCGUUACUCCUUUAUUGAAAAAUGUAGCUGAUCGGAAAUUAUUUCUGUUUCGUUCAAGUUGCUUCAUUCACCCAACUUUUCUUCACAAAAUUCAAAACAAGUGUGUUUGUAUUGCCAUUCCUCUAUAUAACGUGUAUACACUGGAGCAAAAUGUCAUUUCUCUGAACCUGUAAAGCCCCUUUGGAUUCCAUCGUUUGCACUCAUGUGUAGCUACCAAACGUGUUAUAAUUACCGUAAAGUGUACUGGAUUUUAAUUAAACAAACGAUGCUAUAGGACAUGACUUUAGCUGGCUGAAUGGAAUGCUGAUUUUGGACGUGAUAUAAAUCCUUUUCUCUUGACUUUUCCCUGACUGUGUACUACUCUAGUCUUAGAUAAGCUGUGUUGAUGAUCCAAAGUAUGAAGCAGAAAAAGAAGAAAAAAAAAGAUUUAUAAUCAUGAAGACAGAACUUUGGCUCGUGUGCUGUUUUCCUGUUCGUCUCCGCCGUCGCUUUUACAACUCUGUCAGCCUUUAAUUCACAUUAACAAGUGGCCUAACAGUAGGUGUUGAGUUUCAGGCCUGAGAAAGCUCUGACUUUUCACUUUUUAUUACUCAAAAAUGGAGCCUCUAAGAAGACAGCUUCUUUUCUUUUUUUUUUUUCUUGCUUGAUCCUACCAUCUUCAAGUCAUUAGGUUAAUAACAUGCCUGUCUCUGUAAAUGUCUGUAAUACUUCACUUCCUUUCACGAGCGAGCACAAAGACGGCCCAGUGUUCCUAAUUACUUCCACAGAUUUUUUUUUUGUGCGUGUGAGCGUUUCUGAAAAGGCUUGGGUCCUGAAGAUGAGAUACUUCCCAACAAGAAAGGAUGUGGAAGAAAAUCUUGGUCCUGGUUCUUCCAAGAAACUUUAAACAAAACUAUAAUCAGUCGUACAAUGCAUUGUUUUCAUAUCAUUCCACUGAAUUAGGUCCACGGGUGCAAACGCUGGGUGCAGACUCAAUUUUAAGACAAAACUCCAAGUGUAGUACACCAUGUACACCAUGUACGCCAAGUGACUGUAAUAAAACACAGAUGUAAGAGUCUGAUAUUAAUGCUUAAUAAUGAGCAGCUCUCACAUUUUAUACCGACCAAACAGACCACAGUCCCGCCCACUUGGUUUCUAUUGGCUGGCGAGACCAAGGCUCGUGAAUUCAACCAGAAGCGAAACCAACCACUACCAGGAGCACGUCUUUCACUUCCUGCGUCCUUUCCCCUUCAGUGGAUAAACUUUUGCUCAGGUUGAAUUUAUUUGCGUUUGGUCUGACUGAGGUUUUAUCGGAAAAAUCAACAAAUCACAAAUACUACAGCUAUGCUGUGGAUGUCGACGCCUCUGUCCUUCCGGUUUGUUUUCGGUGUUUUAGAUGUGAGGCCUCUUUGUUUUUUUUUUAACUGAAGCAGACUCCUAAGAUUAGCCGCUAUCUUUAAAAUCUGUAAUUCUGUGUUUUUUAGGAUGCAAUGGUGUGUAGCUGAUCUCCAGUUAACAGCUAAUCUUCUUUCUCCUUCACGUGAUUAAACGUAAAAGUUUAUUGUUGUUUUGGUUUCUAAAGUAACAGACUAUUCAACUUCAAAUCCAGGAUAAAUAAUGAUCAACAUCGAAUGUGUUUUUAAUUUUAAAAAAUAAAUAAAUGAAAAUCCUGUUGAAGCUUAUUUCAUUACUAAUACACUUUAAGCAAUAGUGGAAAAUCAUGCUUAUGGUGAUUUUAGUCAUAAGCCUCCCAAAAACUGAUCCUAAGAUUAUACUUAUUGGAAGAACCAUUAAAAGCAAACAGAUGAUCAGGCGGAACGCUACCAAGACAGACGUGCUCUGACGAAGGCUGUUAUUCCAUUUGGUAAAGCUUCCUAAAGGGUAAAGAGAAAAAAAAGAGGGAGUAAAAAGAUGGAGUGAAGGUUGGACUCACUACCGUGCAGGCCUCAUCUGUUCCACAGGCCUCCUGGCAGGCAUCAGGGGGCGAAGGAGAGGAUAGAGGAGGGAGGUGACAGGUCUGUUCUCUAUCUAACCCCAGCCAUGAGCCUUAUUUACAUCACGCUGUCCUGAGAACACAUAGAUAUAAAACAGGAAACAGAGCAUGAACUCAAACUCAAGCUCAUAAAACUGAACCUGUUCCCUGAGGAAAUGCAUGAAGGUCCUCUUAUAAUUAGAUGUUCGUUAGGGUUGCUUAGUGCAAAGGGUUAUUUAAACCAUGUAGCUAUGGGAUUUAUGAAGGUGUUCUGUAGCUAUGGGAUUUAUGAAGGUGUUAUGUAGCUAUGGGAUUUAUGAAGGUGUUAUGUAGCUAUGGGAUUUAUGAAGGUGUUAUGUAGCUAUGAGAUUUAUGAAGGUGUUAUGUAGCUAUGGGAUUUAUGAAGGUGUUAUGUAGCUAUGGGAUUUAUGAAGGUGUUAUGUAGCUAUGAGAUUUAUGAAGGUGUUAUGUAGCUAUGGGAUUUAUGAAGGUGUUAUGUAGCUAUGGGAUUUAUGAAGGUGUUAUGUAGCUAUGAGAUUUAUGAAGGUGUUAUGUAGCUAUGGGAUUUAUGAAGGAGUUAUGUAGCUAUGGGAUUUAUGAAGGUGUUAUGUAGCUAUGGGAUUUAUGAAGGUGUUAUGUAGCUAUGAGAUUUAUGAAGGUGUUAUGUAGCUAUGGGAUUUAUGAAGGUGUUAUGUAGCUAUGAGAUUUAUGAAGGUGUUAUGUAGCUAUGGGAUUUAUGAAGGUGUUAUGUAGCUAUGAGAUUUAUGAAGGUGUUAUGUAGCUAUGAGAUUUAUGAAGGUGUUAUGUAGCUAUGGGAUUUAUGAAGGUGUUAUGUAGCUAUGAGAUUUAUGAAGGUGUUAUGUAGCUAUGGGAUUUAUGAAGGUGUUAUGUAGCUAUGGGAUUUAUGAAGGUGUUAUGUAGCUAUGAGAUUUAUGAAGGUGUUAUGUAGCUAUGAGAUUUAUGAAGGUGUUAUGUAGCUAUGAGAUUUAUGAAGGUGUUAUGUAGCUAUGAGAUUUAUGAAGGUGUUAUGUAGCUAUGGGAUUUAUGAAGGUGUUAUGUAGCUAUGGGCUUUAUGAAGGUGUUAUGUAGCUAUGGGCUUUAUGAAGGUGUUAUGUAGCUAUGGGCUUUAUGAAGGUGUUAUGUAGCUAUGGGAUUUAUGAAGGUGUUAUGUAGCUAUGGGAUUUAUGAAGGUGUUAUGUAGCUAUGGGAUUUAUGAAGGUGUUCUGUAGCUAUGGGAUUUAUGAAGGUGUUAUGUAGCUAUGGGCUUUAUGAAGGUGUUAUGUAGCUAUAGGAUUUAUGAAGGUGUUAUGUAGCUAUGAGAUUUAUGAAGGUGUUAUGUAGCUAUGGGCUUUAUGAAGGUGUUAUGUAGCUAUGGGAUUUAUGAAGGUGUUAUGUAGCUAUGAGAUUUAUGAAGGUGUUAUGUAGCUAUAGGAUUUAUGAAGGUGUUAUGUAGCUAUAGGAUUUAUGAAGGUGUUAUGUAGCUAUGAGAUUUAUGAAGGUGUUAUGUAGCUAUGGGAUUUAUGAAGGUGUUAUGUAGCUAUGGGCUUUAUGAAGGUGUUAUGUAGCUAUGGGAUUUAUGAAGGUGUUAUGUAGCUAUGAGAUUUAUGAAGGUGUUAUGUAGCUAUGAGAUUUAUGAAGGUGUUAUGUAGCUAUGAGAUUUAUGAAGGUGUUAUGUAGCGUCAUGCACAGUGCCCUUAUUAUUUUGAGAGUAUUAAAAGGUAUUCUGUGGUAAGUACAACAAAAGUUAUAGUUAUUUGUAACUGGAUAUUUCGUAAUAACAGACUCCGCAGGUUGUUUGCUCUGAAACACGCUUGCUUUGGCUGUUUUUAGGAGCAAAGAACAGUGACUAUGACAAAAAAGAUUUAUAAUGCAUUCAUUUUAUAAUUGAUAAAGAGGCAGGUGGACCUUGUUACAUGUCCAGUUCUCUUGUUUUCUUCUCUUGUUUUCUCUUCUUUUGACCUCUGCCUCAAAUCAUACCAUUAUUAUCAUUAGAGCACGAUUUGUUAUGGAAAUCCGAAGCACUUUAUUCCCCUAUUACAUCCUGCCGUGACUUGACUCCGGUUAUGUUCUGCAAUUCACUUGAUCUGACCUGUUUACUUAGAAUGAAAGAGAAGGAUUUCUCUCCAGUAUUAAAUUGUGUAAACAACCUUUGUAAUAUCUUCAGUAAAUUGUGAAACGUGGGGCGUUUUAGCGACGUUUCGGCAUUGUUUAUCCAGAGCGGCCAUGUAGACUCGUCUCUAGAAUUAUAUUGCUGAUAUAAACUUUGUAAAUGAUAAUAUGAGAAUCCAUUUUGAGUAAACAGGCCAUGCAUGACCUACAUUCAUGGAAGUGCUCUGGAUUCAGAGGCAGGAGAUGAGACUAAACAGAGCAGGCUGAGGAAAAACCUAUGAGAGGCAUUUCUUAUGAAUAAUGGCACGUCGAGUGUUUAGGUGUCCAUAUUGUUGCUGGUAGAUCAUACACAUAGACGUAUUAUCCAAACUGUUUAUAUACGUGUACACACGGAAAUGGACAGAGAGC